AUUGCCUUAGUAACGGCGAGUGAAGCGGCAACAGCUCAAAUUUGAAAUCUGGCUUCGGCCCGAGUUGUAAUUUGUAGAGGAUGUUUAUGGUGCGGUACCUUCCGAGUUCCCUGGAACGGGACGCCACAGAGGGUGAGAGCCCCGUCUGGUUGGAUACUAAACCUGUGUUAAACUCCUUCAUCGAGUCGAGUAGUUUGGGAAUGCUGCUCUAAAUGGGAGGUAAAUCUCUUCUAAAGCUAAAUACUGGCCAGAGACCGAUAGCGCACAAGUAGAGUGAUCGAAAGAUGAAAAGCACCUUGAAAAGGGGGUUAAACAGUACGUGAAAUUGUUGAAAGGGAAGCGUUUAUGACCAGACUUGUGCCGUGUGGCUCAUCCGAGGUUCUCCCCGGUGCACUCCACACGGUUCAGGCCAACAUCGGUUUUCGCUGGGGGAUAAGAACAGUAGGAACGUAGCUCCCCUCGGGGAGUGUUAUAGCCUAUUGUACGAUACCCUGGUGGGGACCGAGGACCGCGCUUCGGCUAGGAUGUUGGCGUAAUGGUCAUUAGCGACCCGUCUUGAAACACGGACCAAGGAGUCGUCCAUUAGAGCGAGCGUUUGGGUGUAAAACCCGCACGCGUAAUGAAAGUGAAAUUAGGUGAGAGCUUCGGCGCAUCAUCGACCGAUCCUGAAGUUUACGGAUGGAUUUGAGUAAGAGUUUUAACGGACGGACCCGAAAGACAGUGAACUAUGCUUGAAUAGGGUGAAGCCAGAGGAAACUCUGGUGGAGGCUCGCAGCGGUUCUGACGUGCAAAUCGAUCGUCAAAUUUGAGCAUGGGGGCGAAAGACUAAUCGAACUGUCUAGUAGCUGGUUACCGCCGAAGUUUCCCUCAGGAUAGCAGUGUUGACCUUCAGUUUUAUGAGGUAAAGCGAAUGAUUAGGGACUCGGGGGCGCUUAUUAGCCUUCAUCCAUUCUCAAACUUUAAAUAUGUAAGAAGCCCUUGUUACUUAAUUGAACGUGGGCAUUCGAAUGUACCAACACUAGUGGGCCAUUUUUGGUAAGCAGAACUGGCGAUGCGGGAUGAACCGAACGGGGGGUUAAGGCGCCAGAAUGUACGCUCAUCAGACACCACAAAAGGCGUUAGUACAUCUUGACAGCAGGACGGUGGCCAUGGAAGUCGGAAUCCGCUAAGGACUGUGUAACAACUCACCUGCCGAAUGUACUAGCCCUGAAAAUGGAUGGCGCUCAAGCGUACUGCCCAUACCCCCCCUUCAGGGUAGAAACGAUGCCCUGAAGAGUAGGCGGCCGUGGAGGUUGUGACGAAGCCUAGGGCGUGAGCCCGGGUCGAACAGCCUCUAGUGCAGAUCUUGGUGGUAGUAGCAAAUACUUCAAUGAGAACUUGAAGGACCGAAGUGGGAAAGGUUUCAUGUGAACAGCGGUUGGACAUGAGUUAGCCCGAUCCUAAGCCAUAGGGAAGCUCCGUUUCAAAGUGGGCACUU
rnacentral:rRNA from 1 species